rnacentral:rRNA from 1 species
UUAACACAUGCAAGUCGAGGGGCAGCAUGGUCUUAGCUUGCUAAGGCCGAUGGCGACCGGCGCACGGGUGAGUAACACGUAUCCAACCUGCCGUCUACUCUUGGACAGCCUUCUGAAAGGAAGAUUAAUACAAGAUGGCAUCAUGAGUCCGCAUGUUCACAUGAUUAAAGGUAUUCCGGUAGACGAUGGGGAUGCGUUCCAUUAGAUAGUAGGCGGGGUAACGGCCCACCUAGUCUUCGAUGGAUAGGGGUUCUGAGAGGAAGGUCCCCCACAUUGGAACUGAGACACGGUCCAAACUCCUACGGGAGGCAGCAGUGAGGAAUAUUGGUCAAUGGGCGAGAGCCUGAACCAGCCAAGUAGCGUGAAGGAUGACUGCCCUAUGGGUUGUAAACUUCUUUUAUAAAGGAAUAAAGUCGGGUAUGGAUACCCGUUUGCAUGUACUUUAUGAAUAAGGAUCGGCUAACUCCGUGCCAGCAGCCGCGGUAAUACGGAGGAUCCGAGCGUUAUCCGGAUUUAUUGGGUUUAAAGGGAGCGUAGAUGGAUGUUUAAGUCAGUUGUGAAAGUUUGCGGCUCAACCGUAAAAUUGCAGUUGAUACUGGAUAUCUUGAGUGCAGUUGAGGCAGGCGGAAUUCGUGGUGUAGCGGUGAAAUGCUUAGAUAUCACGAAGAACUCCGAUUGCGAAGGCAGCCUGCUAAGCUGCAACUGACAUUGAGGCUCGAAAGUGUGGGUAUCAAACAGGAUUAGAUACCCUGGUAGUCCACACGGUAAACGAUGAAUACUCGCUGUUUGCGAUAUACUGCAAGCGGCCAAGCGAAAGCGUUAAGUAUUCCACCUGGGGAGUACGCCGGCAACGGUGAAACUCAAAGGAAUUGACGGGGGCCCGCACAAGCGGAGGAACAUGUGGUUUAAUUCGAUGAUACGCGAGGAACCUUACCCGGGCUUAAAUUGCAGAUGAAUUACGGUGAAAGCCGUAAGCCGCAAGGCAUCUGUGAAGGUGCUGCAUGGUUGUCGUCAGCUCGUGCCGUGAGGUGUCGGCUUAAGUGCCAUAACGAGCGCAACCCUUGUUGUCAGUUACUAACAGGUUCCGCUGAGGACUCUGACAAGACUGCCAUCGUAAGAUGUGAGGAAGGUGGGGAUGACGUCAAAUCAGCACGGCCCUUACGUCCGGGGCUACACACGUGUUACAAUGGGGGGUACAGAGGGCCGCUACCACGCGAGUGGAUGCCAAUCCCCAAAACCUCUCUCAGUUCGGACUGGAGUCUGCAACCCGACUCCACGAAGCUGGAUUCGCUAGUAAUCGCGCAUCAGCCACGGCGCGGUGAAUACGUUCCCGGGCCUUGUACACACCGCCCGUCAAGCCAUGGGAGCCGGGGGUACCUGAAGUGCGUAACCGCGAGGAGCGCCCUAGGGUAAAACUGGUGACUGGGGCUAA